rnacentral:rRNA from 1 species
UACGUAGGGGGCGAGCGUUGUCCGGAGUUACUGGGCGUAAAGGGCAUGCAGGCGGUCAGGCGCGUUUCGGGUGACAGCGGGUGGCUUAACUACCCGAGUGUUCGAAAGACGGCGUGACUUGAGGGCGAGAGAGGGACACGGAAUUCCGGGUGGAGUGGUGAAAUGCGUAGAGAUCCGGAGGAACACCGAAGGCGAAGGCAGUGUCCUGGCUCGCGACUGACGCUGAGGUGCGAAAGCUAGGGGAGCGAACGG